AUUGAACGCUGGCGGCAUGCUUUACACAUGCAAGUCGGACGGCAGCACAGAGAAGCUUGCUUCUUGGGUGGCGAGUGGCGAACGGGUGAGUAACAUAUCGGAACGUACCGAGCAGUGGGGGAUAACUAAUCGAAAGAUUAGCUAAUACCGCAUAUUUUCUGAGGAAGAAAGCAGGGGACCAUUUGGCCUUGCGCUGUUUGAGCGGCCGAUAUCUGAUUAGCUAGUUGGUGGGGUAGAGGCCUACCAAGGCGACGAUCAGUAGCGGGUCUGAGAGGAUGAUCCGCCACACUGGGACUGAGACACGGCCCAGACUCCUACGGGAGGCAGCAGUGGGGAAUUUUGGACAAUGGGCGCAAGCCUGAUCCAGCCAUGCCGCGUGUCUGAAGAAGGCCUUCGGGUUGUAAAGGACUUUUGUCAGGGAAGAAAAGGGCGGGGUUAAUACCCCUGUCUGAUGACGGUAC
rnacentral:rRNA from 1 species